rnacentral:rRNA from 1 species
CCUACGGGUGGCAGCAGUGAGGAAUAUUGGUCAAUGGACGCAAGUCUGAACCAGCCAUGCCGCGUGCAGGAAGACGGCUCUAUGAGUUGUAAACUGCUUUUGUACGAGGGUAAACGCAGAUACGCGUAUCUGUCUGAAAGUAUCGUACGAAUAAGGCUCGGCUAACUCCGUGCCCGCAGCCGCGGUAAUACGGAGGAUUCAAGCGUUACCCGGAUUUAUUGGGUUUAAAGGGUGCGUGGGCGGUCGGAGAAGUUAGAGGUGAAAUCCCGAGGCUCAACUUCGGAUUUGCCUCUGAAACGGUUCGGCUAGAGAGUAGUUGCGGUAGGCGGAAUGUAUGGUGUAGCGGUGAAAUGCUUAGAGAUCGUACAGAACACCGAUUGCGAAGGCAGCGUACCGGCGCCGGACUGACGCUGAGGCACGAAAGCGUGGGUAUCGAACAGGAUUAGAUACCCGUGUAGUC